CCCUGGCUCAGGACGAACGCUGGCGGCGUGCCUAAUACAUGCAAGUCGAGCGGAGUUGAUGAGGUGCUUGCACCUCUGAUACUUAGCGGCGGACGGGUGAGUAACACGUGGGUAACCUGCCUAUAAGACUGGGAUAACAUUCGGAAACGAAUGCUAAUACCGGAUACGCGAUUUGGUCGCAUGAUCGAAUCGGGAAAGAUGGAGCAAUCUAUCACUUAUAGAUGGACCCGCGGCGCAUUAGCUAGUUGGUGAGGUAACGGCUCACCAAGGCGACGAUGCGUAGCCGACCUGAGAGGGUGAUCGGCCACACUGGGACUGAGACACGGCCCAGACUCCUACGGGAGGCAGCAGUAGGGAAUCUUCCGCAAUGGACGAAAGUCUGACGGAGCAACGCCGCGUGAGUGAUGAAGGUUUUCGGAUCGUAAAGCUCUGUUGCCAGGGAAGAAUGCUUGGGAGAGUAACUGCUCCCAAGGUGACGGUACCUGAGAAGAAAGCCCCGGCUAA
rnacentral:rRNA from 2 species